GUUUACCACCAUCCCCUGAAUGCACUCGAUCUUGUCUUAUCUUGGAAGCUAAGCAGGGUUGGGCCUGGUUAGGACUUGAAUGGGAGACUGCCUCGGAAUACAGGGAGCUGUAGGCU
rnacentral:rRNA from 1 species